UGGGGAAUAUUGGACAAUGGGCGCAAGCCUGAUCCAGCCAUGCCGCGUGUGUGAAGAAGGCCUUUUGGUUGUAAAGCACUUUAAGCGAGGAGGAGGCUACUUGGAUUAAUACUCUAAGAUAGUGGACGUUACUCGCAGAAUAAGCACCGGCUAACUCUGUGCCAGCAGCCGCGGUAAUACAGAGGGUGCGAGCGUUAAUCGGAUUUACUGGGCGUAAAGCGUGCGUAGGCGGCUUCUUAAGUCGGAUGUGAAAUCCCUGAGCUUAACUUAGGAAUUGCAUUCGAUACUGGGAAGCUAGAGUAUGGGAGAGGAUGGUAGAAUUCCAGGUGUAGCGGUGAAAUGCGUAGAGAUCUGGAGGAAUACCGAUGGCGAAGGCAGCCAUCUGGCCUAAUACUGACGCUGAGGUAUGAAAGCAUGGGGAGCAAACAGG
rnacentral:rRNA from 1 species